UACGUAGGGUGCAAGCGUUGUCCGGAAUUAUUGGGCGUAAAGAGCUCGUAGGCGGCCUGUUGCGUCGACUGUGAAAACCCGGGGCUCAACCCCGGGCCUGCAGCCGAUACGGGCAGGCUUGAGUUCGGCAGGGGAGACUGGAAUUCCUGGUGUAGCGGUGAAAUGCGCAGAUAUCAGGAGGAACACCGGUGGCGAAGGCGGGUCUCUGGGCCGAUACUGACGCUGAGGAGCGAAAGCGUGGGGAGCGAACAGG
rnacentral:rRNA from 1 species